rnacentral:rRNA from 1 species
AUUGAACGCUGGCAGCAUGCCUUACACAUGCAAGUCGAACGGCAGCACGGGUGCUUGCACCUGGUGGCGAGUGGCGAACGGGUGAGUAAUACAUCGGAACAUGUCCUGUAGUGGGGGAUAGCCCGGCGAAAGCCGGAUUAAUACCGCAUACGCUCUACGGAUGAAAGCGGGGGACCUUCGGGCCUCGCGCUAUAGGGUUGGCCGAUGGCUGAUUAGCUAGUUGGUGGGGUAAAGGCCUACCAAGGCGACGAUCAGUAGCUGGUCUGAGAGGACGACCAGCCACACUGGGACUGAGACACGGCCCAGACUCCUACGGGAGGCAGCAGUGGGGAAUUUUGGACAAUGGGCGAAAGCCUGAUCCAGCAAUGCCGCGUGUGUGAAGAAGGCCUUCGGGUUGUAAAGCACUUUUGUCCGGAAAGAAAUCCUUGGCUCUAAUACAGUCGGGGGAUGACGGUACCGGAAGAAUAAGCACCGGCUAACUACGUG